rnacentral:rRNA from 1 species
GACGAACGCUGGCGGCGUGCUUAACACAUGCAAGUCGAACGGAAAGGCCCUGCUUUUGUGGGGUGCUCGAGUGGCGAACGGGUGAGUAACACGUGAGUAACCUGCCCUUGACUUUGGGAUAACUUCAGGAAACUGGGGCUAAUACCGGAUAGGAGCUCCUGCUGCAUGGUGGGGGUUGGAAAGUUUCGGCGGUUGGGGAUGGACUCGCGGCUUAUCAGCUUGUUGGUGGGGUAGUGGCUUACCAAGGCUUGACGGGUAGCCGGCCUGAGAGGGUGACCGGCAACAUUGGGACUGAGAUACGGCCCAGACUGCAACGGGAGGAAGCAGUGGGGAAUAUUGCACAAUGGGAGGAAGCAUGAUGAAGCAACGCCGCGUGCGGGAUGACGGCCUUCGGGUUGUAAACCGCUUGCGCAUGUGACGAAGAGUGAGUGACGGUAAUGGGUAAAGAAGCACCGGCUAACUACGUG